UGUUCUUGCCUUUCAGCUGGGCAAGUGGAGCACUCGAUCCUGAAGGCGCUGCUGCUCACAGUAGCUUGACAUCAAUCAAGAGGGGUGUCUGGGCUAUGAUUGCAGCCUUCCUUGCCUACUGCACGCUUCAGGCACCUUCAACGAUACUUAUUAGGCCCCACCCUGCUGUCUGGCACCUGGUACAUGGACUGGCUGUCGUUUACCUCGUUGCUCUUACCUUC